GACGAAGGGGGCUAGCGUUGCUCGGAAUUACUGGGCGUAAAGCGCGUGUAGGCGGCUGUUCAAGUUGGGCGUGAAAGCCUUGGGCUUAACCCAAGAAAUGCGCUCAAUACUGGAUAGCUAGAGGACCGGAGAGGAUAGUGGAAUUCCCAGUGUAGUGGUGAAAUACGUAGAGAUUGGGAAGAACACCAGUGGCGAAGGCGGCUCACUGGCCCGGUACUGACGCUGAGGUGCGAAAGCGUGGGGAGCAAACAGG
rnacentral:rRNA from 1 species